CCGGCAGGCAAUUGACGUUUCAUACUAGGGCGAGGGGUGUUGAAACGCAUGGAAAAGCAGGAAGAAACACGGACGAGCGCUGAUGAACUGCAACUGUGUGCGUGCAACAGCACCAAACGGCAUGUGGCGACGUACAGUGUAUGGAUGUGUGUGUGUUAUUUUAGGCAGCGAAGAUGGAUCGAGGUUAUGUUUACAAAGUGAAAGAGUUUGAUGCAGAAGCGUCUUCGUGAUAAACAUGUAUUUUAGUUGCAUAAUUUCAGUGUUAAAGUUUGUAAUGUGAACUUAAAAGUAAUGACCAUAGGUGCUAUUCACUUGUGUGCUGUUGGCGAAUAUUGAAGCGUUGAAAUAUUUAAGCUUCAUAUGUUUGUUUGUUGUGCUUAGUGUGAAGCAAAAAUGUGUGCUAAAGUGUUAUAAAAUAGAAAUAUGUAUACGUAUCCGUCUAAUGUUCGGUUGUACCUAUCUAAUUUUCCAUAUUUUUGGGUGUCCUUAUCCUUUACCAGGAGAAAACUAUAGAUGGAGGUUAGAUACGUGCAGCUAUUUGCCUCCGCAGGAAGGUAUGUUAAUUAAAGUUGUUGUAUUUGUAAUUUUUCAUUACGCUGCAAUUAAAUAACUUAUCGUAUAAAAUUUGCCGUUUAACAUUAUGAAUAAUCGAUGUUAUCAGUGUUCUUCAGAAGUGUUCCAAGCUGUCCGAAGACACACAAAUCCGCAAUCCACAAUCCAAGCACACAAAUCCAAUUCACCUCGUAUGCACCCAGCGGAUUUCAUGCGAAGGAUAUUGGAAAGCCAUCAAAGAAGUGGGCAUGAUGGUAAGGAAACUUUGAUUCUUUUUACUUUUAGAUUUCUUAUCCUUAUUUUUGUUUACAACAACCUGAGAUCGUCGGUGCGGGCCUUAUGGGAACUGCGCGGUCAGAGCAAUAACCGGAUGAGCAUUUCGUUUCAGGUGGAAAUUAUAUCAAGUUUGUGAAUUGAAGAGAGUUACGGCACAUUGUGCCACACUAAAUAAAUUUAUUUUUAUUUCUUCCUUCUAUGGCAGCUUGUUUUAACAUUUCCCUGUAUGUUUACUCUUGCCGGUGCUUGUGUCAGUUUUCAUUUUAAAUAUUCUUUAUCAUAUUCUUUAUCUAUGUCUAUUCCCACGUGGUUUGUGGCGAUAGACUUAAAUAAGCACUGUAUUUGGGUAGUUACUAAAAGCUAUUUUUUCCUGACGAUCCUUCCCAGCUACACCGUGCAAGAAAAGUCCCAUCAAACAACACGUCUUAAGCCUCAUGCAUCCUGUUGUUGGCAUCCUGGCGGCUGAUAUCUGCAUCUAUUAUUUAAGUAUAACUGCAAAAUGCAAAAUCAUCUCCAGCUAUUUUUGCUUCAAAUGCAUCAAACUUUUGUUCAUUUUCGAUUUUUUCUAUUGCUAAACUCUGCGCAUUUCUUCUCAUACCCUUCAUAGGAUUCAGUAUUGUGGACUGCUAAUUUAAAAUAACCAUAAUCUGUGCGCUGCGUGCAUCUAUUUUCAUUAACAGCAUCCGACAACGAAGGCAGCAGCUUCCAGAAUGCUCUGUAGAAGUAAUUUUAAGGACUGCUUGAUUUGCUCCUGCUGCAGCCUGGUGUUCAUAGUCGGUGAUCAUCAUUAUUGGUGAUGAAGGCAGCACAGGCAAAUUUAUCACAAUAGGACCAGUUGCUCGUUCAGUCGUUAUGUACGAUGUACCGGUGCUUGUCGAUGGCACUUGGUUACCACCAUCAACUAUCUUGCCUGGCGGACGGAUCUGGCUAGGAACACAGCUCACAAUACAAACAGAUCCUCUAGCAGCCGCUAUCACCGAUGCAGAAGCACUGGUGGGUAAUUGUUGUCUUACAACAGCGGACAUCAUACCACGCUGAUUCUUCGGAGCAUGAACUUCGACAAGCGAUGCAAUCGAUGGUACUGCAGAUCCCGCCAAUGCCUGUUGUCUACCGAUCUUCAUGCCUGAUUCCUGCGGUAGAGCAUCAGCAACCGGUACCACUGAUGGACGGAACGGACGGAACGGACGGAAUGGUACAGGAACACCAGGUAAUGUUGACCGAUGAUGAUUACCAUCACCGGCAUUCGAGACCAGCGCUGACACUUCAUCCGUUACCUUCACCUGUUCAACAACACGGACUGGCAUUCUUUGUUGACUCGCGCUGAACGGCCACUGAAACCACCGAAGGCACUGCACUUGUUGUCGGAAGUUGUCCAACAACACGCACCGGCAAUCCGGGAGGACGGAUAGCACGAGGAAUGGCAACCGGAACCACCGAUGGCACUGCAUUUGUCGUCGGAAGUUGUCCAACAACACGGACUGGUACAUCUGACUGACGAAGCUACUUAUCACAUACCCGCAUUUUAUGUCCCCAUUCUUGGUGUUUCCGGGUUACUCGCCAUCGCGCUGUAGUCGGAUCAUACUGCACCUGUCCUGCUUCGAUUAAUGUCUCCCCAAAGACAAUAUUAGAGCACGCGUUCCUAUUCCUCAUCCUCCGGCACCGUCUGGAGAAUGUGGGAGUCACUGCUCUAUAAAAACCACCGGACUACCACAAACUGGAAACAGCGGAAAACCCCGUGGGUCACCGGCCACCGUGCUAAAUUGAAGCAAAGUUGAAGUAAGUCUGACAGUAUCUAAAGUAAUAGAAAGACAGUUUGAUAAACUGGUUAACAAUGUUUAUUUUUCAUUUCAGCUAAUAUGCCGUGCGAAAAAGCAAAAUAAAAUUUUCAUUUUAAUGUUUAUUAAGCUACACCGACAUUAUAUUUUUCAUCUAAAACGUUUUUGAUGUGUUUUUUCUCAUUGCGUUUAGGCGUCGUGUAUCAGAUCGCAACUGCUAAUAAUUUCGUCGUCUGAGACGGACUGUUAUGGAGGUACAAAAUCUUCAGUGAUGCGUUCACGCAUCUACGAGCCGGUAAUUGGCGGUAUCCAGAUCAUCGUCGUACUGUUAGCUUACCUAAGCUACCGAAAUUAGCGACAGUGUAAAAUCUGUGCUGUGAGACCUACAGUUGCCUCUCACAACCGUCCGGAAGUCGCAGUGAUUUGGUAACAUCAAGUGCAUCACCACCGCACGAAGCGCAGCAUAUUGACGCAAGCCCAAGCGGACAGCAACCAACUGCAGCAAACGUACGCCGAACGAAUGGUCGUGGUAGACGCGUUAGGAUUGCAAGGCGAUACUUGCGCUCUAAAACAGAUGUUUGGACCACAGAGGUGACGUUCCGAGAUUGUAAAAACAUGUCGGGCCCACAGGUACGCAACAACCGCGCCCAAAUCUAUGGCAUAGUAUUGGGUGUUAGCUCGUCCGCUAGCACCGGUUACACUGGUGCGGUUUCAGAUAAGCCGUUCUCAUCAAUGCCAUACCAUGUACGGUCGGCUAGUUACACUUCAUCACGAAGGACAAUCACAUCUGGGUCACGGAAUGCUGCCAAAACAAAACGAUGAAGCUGGUUUAGUCCUCGAUGACGACGCAACUCCUGCACGUUCGUCGUCAUACUAUCAUUUCAACUGGAGGCAUGUUUGUUUAGGCGGCUACAACAAAUUGUUUGAACAUGUUCAAAACAACAUGGCUUCUCACAAUUACUGGUGAAUGCUGGAAAUCUCCCUGAUAGCCAUUUUCGUGCGCUGAAUUAGGUUUGUAUGAAAAAUAGUGUAUUUUUAGAAUAUUUAAUUAUCAAUAAAAUAACGGUCGAUUUGAAAA